rnacentral:rRNA from 1 species
UAAGCCUACGGGGCGCAGCAGUGGGGGAUAUUGCACAAUGGGGGAAACCCUGAUGCAGCGACGCCGCGUGGGCGAAGAAGUAUUUCGGUAUGUAAAGCCCUAUCAGCAGGGAAGAAGAAAUGACGGUACCUGAGUAAGAAGCACCGGCUAAAUACGUGCCAGCAGCCGCGGUAAUACGUAGGGGGCAAGCGUUAUCCGGAUUUACUGGGUGUAAAGGGGGCGCAGACGGCAGCGCAAGCCAGGAGUGAAAGCCCGGGGCCCAACCCCGGGACUGCUCUUGGAACUGCGCGGCUGGAGUGCAGGAG